AGCCUAAAAAAGACUGUCUUUUCUGGCAAGCCCUUCAUGAGAUAAGAACAUUGUCCUUUUGUUCUGAAUUUGGCUGCACUGCUUUCUCCCUGUUUUUUCUUGCUGGAACUUUGGACUUUUACCUUACCUCUCCAAAGUCAUGGGGCUUUCCAGAUUUUCCAAUUCUUUGUUUGAGAUGCCAAUAAUCUGGACAUCCUCUACCAGUAACACAUUUGGCGAGUCAGCCAGGAGGAGAGACCCUCAAGCUUCAGAUGAUCAUGCAACAAACAUUCCAGCCAGUUCCUGGUGAAGACACCACCCCUGGCCAUCAAGAAACUACCCUGCCUCCACUAGACAGAGAAAGGCAAGAGUUCCAUGAUCCCCAGUAGGUAGGGACUACGCCCCAAGCCAGCAUGAAGCAGUUACAGAAGAAAGAUCCUCAGUCCCUCCACCUCCCAUAAAGAUUUAUAGGAAUUACAUUUCUCAGGGAGAAAAUGAGGCAGGAAAACAUGAUCUGGAGGAAUGGAACAUGAGGCCAAUUCACAUUUCAGCUAUGACAGGAAAUAUUAUCUUUAUUUACAUAGGGCUUACACAAAGUAAACAACGGAAAACUCUAGAGCGUAUUUAACCCCCUCAAAUUCUGUAACAGAACCUUGAGCCCCUAUGCGUGGGCCCACUCCCACACUGCGGAAUAUAUUUCAUUUUCAGUAAAUCUCUGCUGUUGUUGCUUCAUAUUUUUCUUGCUUUGUCUUGUUCUAGUUCAUAUUUUUCUUGCUUUGUCUUGCUUCUAGUUCUCUGUUCCAAUGAGAAGAUGUUUCCUGUUGAGCAGACUUAUGCUAUUUCUAGUAAUAUUAAUUACUUUCAUCCUGUUGUGGGACCUCUCCCAUCCAUGUAUUGUUAUUUCAAUUUUUAUAAUUGUAUUAAUCCAUGUUUGAAUACAUGAUGAAUUUACAUAAAAUGUUAAAGACAUAUAUGAUGUAGAGUUAUCCUCUCAUUUCUCACCUUAACUAUUGAGGUUCAUUCCUGGUAUGACCAGGAUACUAGUCUAUUUUUUACUUUUUCAGAGGGAACUAAGAAGGUACACACAUAUUCAUUAGUUCCUAAAGUAACUGUAGCAUACUUUCUGCAUCUUUUUUUUUU